rnacentral:piRNA from 1 species
UGGGAACCAAGCAAUCUGAAGGGAGCUUCAGC